rnacentral:sRNA from 1 species
CCAAUGACCUUUUGGCUUUGAGAAGAGCAGUCCUCAUACCAGAGGGUUUGGGGUUUUGGCCUCUUUCAGUGUUUAUUCAUUCUUACAUGGGAAAGUUGUAUUCUGAGGUUUCUGUGGUGCAUGAAGCUUUUGCCUUCACCAUCUGUUCCCGUGUCUUCCUCGGGUGACAUCAGAGUACAGCAGUAUUUUCCCUUGCCAUCUAAUGGGGUUUGGGCUGUUUGACUCAACCGUGUGUGUUCCUCAAUGCCAGGGGAAUAAUCCUACCCUAAGUCAGCUGAACAGAAGCCAGGAUCUAACUGCAAACAAGAGACCCAGCUUGCUUAACAGCAUGGAAGAGACCAGUUUCGUUGCAGCUACCUGGGAAGACGGUUGCUAAUUAGCCUGCAACAAAGAGUUCCUUGCUCAUCUAAAAGAGGCAAUCACUGUUCAGGUGAAGCUUUGUUCUAAGAAUAUUUGUUUCAUCUAGUUUAUGAGUCCAAAUGAUAUAGACUCUAAAUGUCACAGCAGUGGUGAAAGACUGCUCGGUCAUGAGCACCGACAGUAACUCACUGGCACGUGAAUUUCUGACCGAUGUCAACCGGCUUUGCAAUGCAGUGGUCCAGAGGGUGGAGGCCAGGGAGGAAGAAGAGGAGGAGACGCACAUGGCAACCCUUGGACAGUACCUUGUCCAUGGUCGAGGAUUUCUAUUACUUACCAAGCUAAAUUCUAUAAUUGAUCAGAGAUGGAGUUUCACCGUGUUGACCAGCUGGUCUUAAACUCCUCACCUCAAGCAGGCUACCCCCGUUGGCCUCCCAAAGUGCUGGGAUUACAGGUGUGAGCCACUGCACCCAGCCAAGUUUAUGUAUUUUUAUUCUUUUUCAUGAAUGUGAUUUGUUAAAUGAGUGAUUAAAUAUAAUUUUUAUAUAUUUGUAUGACUUUUCUGUAAAUAAAAUUUAAAAUCAGAAAAAAUCA